AUAUCAUCAGAGUAGGACCACCAUCCAACAGAAGCAGUAGAAGAAAUUCAACGCUCCUAAACAUAAAAAAAUAUCCAAUACUAAUUCAAUAAUUACAUCCACAUCAUCGCAAUGAACAACUUCAUCAAGCUCUUGGCCGUCAUGGCACUUGUUUUCGCAACCGUUUAUGCCACAAGUUUGCACCAGGAAAAAGACAUGAGUGAUUCGUCCUCAGGAUCAAACUCAGAUUCGAAAUGGCUUCCCCCAGGAAUCUGGAUCCCACUGCCUAACCUUGCCCCAACUGGAAACACGACAGGUUAAAUGUCCCCAUCUUGUCAGCACAUAAUUAUUUUAUAGUCAAUCAAAAUAAUUAUGGUACAAAAUCCUCCAGAGCCUGAGAAUAGAUACAAAUUCAUUAAUUAUACUUAAUUAAAAAUUGGAGUAAUAAAAUGCAAUAUUUAAUUGUUCCGUAAA